CCUACGGUAGGCAGCAGUGAGGAAUAUUGGUCAAUGGGCGAGAGCCUGAACCAGCCAAGUCGCGUGAGGGAAGACGGUCCUAUGGAUUGUAAACCUCUUUUGUCGGGGAGCAAAAAGGCCUCGUGAGGCCACAAAUGAGAGUACCCGAAGAAAAAGCAUCGGCUAACUCCGUGCCAGCAGCCGCGGUAAUACGGAGGAUGCGAGCGUUAUCCGGAUUUAUUGGGUUUAAAGGGUGCGUAGGCGGACUGGAAAGUCAGCGGUAAAAUCGAGAGGCUCAACCUCUUUCCGCCGUUGAAACUGUCGGUCUUGAGUGGGCGAGAAGUAUGCGGAAUGCGUGGUGUAGCGGUGAAAUGCAUAGAUAUCACGCAGAACUCCGAUUGCGAAGGCAGCAUACCGGCGCCCGACUGACGCUGAGGCACGAAAGCGUGGGUAUCGAACAGGAUUAGAUACCCCAGUAGUC
rnacentral:rRNA from 1 species